rnacentral:rRNA from 1 species
CAGCCGCCGCGGGAAUACGGAGGGUGCGAGCGUUAAUCGGAAUAACUGGGCGUAAAGGGCACGCAGGCGGUUAUUUAAGUGAGGUGUGAAAGCCCCGGGCUUAACCUGGGAAUUGCAUUUCAGACUGGGUAACUAGAGUACUUUAGGGAGGGGUAGAAUUCCACGUGUAGCGGUGAAAUGCGUAGAGAUGUGGAGGAAUACCGAAGGCGAAGGCAGCCCCUUGGGAAUGUACUGACGCUCAUGUGCGAAAGCGUGGGGAGCAAACAGGAUUAGAUACCCGAGUAGUCCCUGUCUCUUAUAC